UGAAGACCCUAUGGAGCUUUAGACACCAAAGAAGAUCCUGUCAAAUAACCCCUCACAAGGGCCUGAACUAAUGGAAUCCUUCCCUAAUGUCUUUGGUUGGGGCGACCGCGGGGAAACAAAAAACCCCCACGUGGAAAGGGAGCACCCCCUCCUACAACUAAGAGCCGCAGCUCUAAUUAACAGAAUAUCUGACCAAUAAGAUCCGGCAAUGCCGAUCAACGGACCGAGUUACCCUAGGGAUAACAGCGCAAUCCCCUUUUAGAGCCCAUAUCGACAAGGGGGUUUACGACCUCGAUA
rnacentral:rRNA from 1 species